GGGGGGUGGACUAUGUGUACAAAGUAACUCUUCUUGAGAUACAGUAUGCCAAUGACUAUGAUCGAUACCUGAUGCAUGUAACGAACGUCUUUAAGAGCGGAACCGAUGACAAAGUUCUGAACCAGAAGCGUACCUUCAUCAGCCAUGUUAAAUGUCGGGAUACCCUGAAGUUUAAGCAAGGGCUGGAUUACAUAAUAUUCGGCACGUUUAAUGAUGUUUGGC